CAUGUGUAUAAAUUAUGUAAGGAAUAAUUGACGACGGGCCGUUGAAUUCUAAGAAAAUAAUGCACACCCGAGGUGUUGUGGCCGCAUUACCACCUCGGGUGUGCAUUCUUUUCUAGGAAUUCAACGGCCCUGAGUCAAUUGUUCUGCUUAUAGCCUACUACGGUUACCACAUCUCAAGACACUGUUCCGAUGUUGUAUUUCAAGACAUUUGUCAGGUUUUUGUCCUUAAAACACUCUUGUGUGUGGGACUAAUUUCUUACGCAUCUCAUCCCAAGCCUCCAUUGCUAAUUCCAAAACGUCAUUUCAGAAUUAGUAACGAAGGCUUGAGCCUUGAUAGCAGAAUAAUACCGUUGAUACAGUUAUUAACGCAGUUGAGAGAGAAAGAGAGAGAGAGAGAGAGAGAGAGAGAGAGAGAGAGAGAGAAAGAGAGAGAGAGAAUAAGCAGCAAAUGUGAAUUAGCCUACCUGAUCUGUACGUCUCUAACGGCAGCAGUGUCUCUACUAGUAGCGAAACUAUAAGUUUAUCUCAAGAACCGCGCAGUUAUUACCUCGCUGGUGAGUCAUGUGUCUUACGUUGCUAAUCUAUUUUACUGAUUAAUUCGUCAGAGCAGCGCUGACCAAAUGUUUCUGUGCAAGUGUGUACAUUUGAAAGAGAGAGAGCGCGCGCGAAAGAGUAUGCGCUUUCAGGACACAAUAAAAUGUAUUUUGUGGCAAAAACCAUGACAGUAAUUUGUCGUUUUCAUCCUAUUGUUUACUAUAUUUAUUUGCUUGGUCGGUGUCGUUGUGGGUUUUGUUUCUUUUGCUGUUAUAGGCUGUAAGGACCUAUUGAAAUAACUGAAAAUAUUUGGCAAAGUGAUACUGUAAUACGGUCAAGACCUGCCUAGAACUACUUUAGUCGUGCGUUUCCCUGAAAAUAAUUGCACACCUUAGAACGUUGGUCGACCAAUCAGAUUUGAGCAUUCAACAGCCCCGUAGUAUCAGUAUUCACAAACACUCAUCGUUGACAUAUAUUUGAACUAUUAAAAAAAAAAUUGAUGGAAAACACGUUUUUCUGGGGUUAAAUUAAAUAAAUGACCAGUACUUUGAAUUGUUUAAUACUUGUUCAUCAUAUUUUACUUUUAUUUUAUAUAAAAGCAGCAGAAUGUAGGCUAUAUUACAUCCAGUUUAUAACAAAGCACAUGAGCGUGAAUCACGCUCUCAAAGGAGCCUGAUAGAUGAUGACUAGCACUUGAGUGAGGCAGCCAGCUGUGAACUCAGUAACGACUCCUACCGAUUCACUGACUGAGUGGGUCUGAUUCAUAAGAUUUGUGAUUCAUAAAAUUUGUUUGUGCGCAAACUGGACAUUGCUGCUCACACUGUGUUCCCUGUUGCGUGCAGGAAACACUACCACGCACUCUAAAUAGAUGACAUGACGAAGAACCACUUAUAGAUGCACAUAAAACCUUCCUGACUAAAUUUAAAAUUUAAAUUUAAAACUUUAAAAGGUGGGGGGUGUAUCACACACAGUUUCUGCCAAUCUCAUGUUAAUCUUGAGUACCUAUAGUGUAGUAGUGCAUCCUUCAUAUCUCCGAAAAGUCUUUAGUUUUAUCAUAUUUAUAAAAGAUACAUACGCUGUACCGAGUCUUUCCGAAAACAGCCGAGCGCCUGGAGGCGUGCCGUGCGAGCGGAGCACGUGCAGCUUUUGCCUAGCGAUCGUCUGCAAGCUAUCAAUGGUCAUACUCAAAAAAAAAAAAAAAAAUGUCCGAAGUUUGUGAGCAAUCUGAAGACUAUUUUUGGUACAGAAAUACUCCAUUAUACGUCCAACUUGUUUUUUGAAACUUGCGUUCAAUCCAACUCUUUAACAGUGUAAAUAAGUCAGAAUGUAUGAAAUAGCAUUAGACCCCCCCUUUAAGUUAUUGUCGCAUUUGCGUCUGUUUUAGUCACAGCUUGGACUCCUGUAUAUUCACAAAAAGCCUUACUGCAGUGGUUUCCUUUCUACCCAGUUAUUCUUCUAAAGGAGAUGACGUGAUACAUGAUUUACACUGCCGUCAUUUCAACAUUCAUCACCUCAUGUACUUUCUGACAGCAAAUGACAGAUGGAUUCCCAUGAUAAAUGGCAACAUUUCCCGUACUGAAAAAGACGGUACCCUGAGGGCAUUCUUCAUGCAUGCUGGCAAGAUCCUAAAUCCAGUCGACAAACCAAAGCAGCGACUCUAAUGCUGUACUAGUCUAGAGGCGUCUUUGUUGCGGAUGACCUCACCUGAAUGAAGUGGAUGAAGUCAUUAUUAAAGCCAUUAGUUGCUGCAGGGCCUCUCCACCCAGCAGAUCCACAAAGAUCACCCCACAAAGGUUUAAGGCUAACAUAUAACACAUUUAGUCAGGCAUAUCAAGUUGUCAUAUAAAAGCAGACUCCACUCCUGAGAUGGACAGCAGUGUUCUUUUUUUUCUAUCCCAUUUGUUUUGCAUCAUACCAUUUCCCUACUCUUCCAAUAUUCCAAAAGGCAAAUUCAGGUCCAAGAAGUUUCCAGAAACCCUGCCAACUAGCUUCUCUGGCCUCUUGGCAAGAAAUCUUCAUCCUAAUAGCCACUACAAUAUCACAGAAGCCUCAACUGCUUAUAAAUAAGUAUACAUGAGAAAAGACGAUGAUGAGAAGUCUAAAAAAUUAUGUCCCUCCUCAGAGGGGCCCUUUAGUUCAAUCAUAAAAGUGAGACGCCGUAAAAGGACACUCUGUAAAAACAACACAGACACCCAAAGGAG